GAGCAACUGGCUGAAAUCCGCAAGGCAAGUUUGUCCCGAAUAUUCUGCGAUAACACCGACACUGUCAGUAUACAGGAGAAUGCUUUCGUCAAGGGUGAUAAGAUACCCUGCGGCUCCCUGGAGACGGUGGACCUGACCCCCUGGAAGGAGGAACUGGGGGCAUGGACUCCUUGGGCACCAUGGGGAAAUUGUCACAAUCAUGUCCAGACACGAGACCGGGCCUGUUCACCCUGUAACUGUGGUUGUGAUGGUCCAAACAUUGACAGUCGUUACUGCCGUUGUUGAGUCCUGUUACGGAUCUCCUGUACCUAUCCAGGCACACGGCGUGUAUCUAACGGCAUACGGACUUUAUGUCUAAGUAGUCCAGCUUCUAAAUGCCUCUCAAGGAAGACUUUAUGUCUGUAAAACAUGUAUAAUGUAUUUCUCUAACGACAUUCAUGUUGUUUGUUUUAACUCUGACAGCAUACAAACUUUAUUUCUCUAACUACGUUCAGAUUUUAUGUCUCUUCAUACAGAAGCCCUGGUACAAGCAGGCAUCUUAUUGUAUAUCAAAAGUAUUCAAUAAAACAAUGAUACAUGCCUA